CCGUGCCAUGGAAGGAAGGCAUGGGUGAUGUUAGUCUGAAGGCCAGCCAGAGGGACUGACGGUGCUGUAGCCUGAGCCAUCGUCUCAUGUGCUCUCAGAUUAGACCACUAUAGAGGCUGAGAAAGUAAGCAGAUGGCUGUCAAGUCCAGUCUGACUGAUUUUACUGCACUUCAAACAGGAAAACUACAGAACAAAUGGUAAAGAGAGGUCACUGGAGCAACAGGUAUGGAUUAGGGCCCUUCAACUGUCCAUGAAUACAAUGCUAAAAUGGUGAAAACCAGCCUGCUUUGAUCUUGGAUAAAAGAAGCUACAUGUGGAGAGCAUUGGUGACAAUGAGAUGUUGAGGUUUCUUUAUCUAAAAACGAUGGAUCUCAAGUGACUUUUAGGUACUAACAGCAGAGCAAAUACAAUUCCUUCUUACUAAGAUGCAGGUCAGCUCAGAUCUGCUGUAUGGGCCAUCCUCCAUCAGUGUCUGAUCGGGAUGAUGGAUGGCACAGCCACACUUGGGCUGAAAGUGAAGAGUGAAGGCAUGUGAUUCACAGGAGGGCUGUGCACUGCAAAAUCCUGCAGUUCCCAUGAGGACAGAAGGAAGGUGGAAGGGCAGAGAGUCUUAAAGUUGGAGAAGUCGCAGUGAAUAUGACGUCAGCGUCUCAUCUUCCAUGCUAGAACGCUGGGAAGUCUAAUACGAGAGGCUUCAGACUGCUGAGCGUGGUGGAAGCCAGGGGAGCUAAGACUUGUCAACCAUGAGAAGGUCCAGGAAUGGGCGGUCAACUCUCCGGAAACGUACUUCUUCUGUAGAAGGUGCACUUGUGGCAUCUGUUCUCCUGAGAUCUCAGUUCUCCUUUAUAGAACAGAAAGGCUAUAAAGCAAGAAGGCCUGGGUGUGAAAAGAUCUCUGCCAUGUUCCAGCUGUGUGCCCCACACCUGGCCAGCAGCAUCCUUAAAUGAGGACAAUAGUACUCGUCUUCCGGAGGGCCGAUGUGUGCAAAGCUCUAAGGUGCAGUAACUUGCUUCCUUCCUGAUAUAGCAGAUUAUAUCUCUUCUAUGUCAAGCACUCGUGAGGACGUUGGCCAGCUGGUGUAUGAGAUGGACAUCCACAGGGACGUCACCUUUGGAGCCCUGUGCUCCAAACCUCCGGGAGUGCAUGGCUGGAGAUGAAAAGAGAGCCUACAGGCCACAAGUCCAAAUAGGAUCGAACACAACUGCCUUACAGAAUGAAUGCCCUGGGUUUUUCUUCCCCAUACUCCGAUUUAUUACUGAGAUCAGUCCAAAAGUCAAUCAUUUCACAGACCACCCCGACCCUCCCCAGCCGUCCCCUGUCCUCUAUGUGAGUUCCCAAAUGCCCUGCCCUUCAUUUUCCUUUUAUCCUUGCUUCCUGAUUCUAUCAAUAAAAAAGUCACCAGAGCUUCAGUUCAGGGCUGGAGUUUGAGACUCUCAAGCUGACAGGUCUCGGUUAACGGUAGCCCCAUCUGAACCUUCUUGGGGUUUGGAUUGGAUAUUGACUCCGGCUAAUACUUUGUCUCAGCCUUUUUGCCAUGCCAUAGUCGUGAACUGCAACAAGCAUGUUCAAGUUUUUGUUUCUGGUUUUUUUUUUUGAGGGGGAUUUGUUGGUUGGUUGGUU